GGUUAAAAUGGCAGAGAUUUCCUCCAGGAGGCUGGUGCCCAGGUGCUGGGGCACUCUGGGAGGAGCUCUCCUGCGGCAGUGGGUUGUGACCCGCAGCAAAGAAGCUGCUGCAGCAGGCACUGAUCCUCUGUCAGCAUUUCAUUGUCAUAUCAUUGACCAUUUCUAUCAACUACCUUUUGGUCUGAAAGUAAGCCGAACUAAUGUCAAUUGCUUUAAUUGCAUCAUUAAUUGAAACAUGCUGGGAGAAGGACAUUAUUGUUCCAGCUGAAAUGCAAUAACUGAAAACUUUAGCUGCUUUUGCCACUACAGUACAUUUAUGAUGCUUCUAUCCAGAGGGGGAAAAAAAAAAAACCCACGUUUUGGAAGUACAAAGAGUGUACAACCUGUGCGCACAGAAAUCUAUGAAUUCUACCCCUGGGUGCCAAGGUCUUUAAAACAUCAGCUGAAUUCUGAAGCUAAAGCUGACACAAACAGAAGGAGAAGCAGUGCAAAGUUGCUUUGCUAUUUUCAGACAGAACUUUUCUUCUCAUUGCUGCAGCCUGGAGGGGGAGAGGACUUUCGUGUUUGCUCUGCAUCCCUACACUGACACACAGUUUUACUGCAGUCUGAGUCAUCUCCAGAAUAUCAGCUAAAUCCUGGCUGAAGACAAGAUCUCCAUAAAGCAGGGCUUGCUUUUCUUUUUAUGUGAAAAAGAGAGAAGUAGCUCAAGAAAGGAAUCAGUGAAUCAUCAACAGCAAGAGUGCUGGAAGGCCAACCUUCAACAUCUUCAAAAGACUCUGAGCACUGGGAUGCAUGUAUACAUAUCUAUAAAGAGUUCUGAAAAGAAUAAACAAUCACCCUCAGGGUUGGUCUGGUAGGAGAGCAGAGAGCUGCUCUUGCACCUGAAGGAGCUGUGACUGAAUAUAGUUCAUCAAGGACACCUGGUCCUGACACCAGUUUCUGCACUUAAUUGAAAUAAAGCAUUCUUCCAUUAGUCACUCAUGCCAAAAGGAUAAUAAUGCUUAAAAAAAUCCCUUAUUUUUCAGAGAUCUCACUAUUACUUAGUUCCUAACUUCCUAGUAUGACAUUGCUGUUGGAUAUUUUUUGCAACAUAGGAUGCAGUGACUUCGAGCAAUGAUUUUCUCUUAUCGUAAAAUAUUUAAUAUAUGUAUGUUAGCAAAAUUGUUUCCUGGUGUAAAUUAAUAGCAGUGGCAUGUACAAAAUACAAAUGCAUGUACUUUAUUAUGAAACGUGCUACCAAAACAUUUAUUAUUGUUAAGCUAAAAAGACCCUGCCAGAUGCGUUCAACAACUAACAGAACACAGUAAGGCUGAAAACCACCAAGAACUGCCCCCAAAACUGCAACAGAACUUGUCUCCUAAUUAACUCAGGAAGUGUGACAGUACUGACAUUUUGUCCUAGGUAGUAAGAAAUACGUACUCCUGGAAUGUAAAAUUUCACAUAGGUCUGCUGUGGAGGAAGCAAAUAUGUGUGAGGCAUACAAGACUUGUGUUGUAACUUGUAACGAACAGCAUGUGUCUUAGUUUCAGCUAAGGACAUACACUUAUUCGUGUUUUAGUAGAAAUCUAAACCUCUAGAAGCUUGAAACAAAGCCCUCUUGGUAGCUUCAGCAGCUAGAGAUAAAGUUACUGUUCUUCAGAAGCAGGCUAUGAAAUUUCUGACCGAGAGGAAUUGGCACUGUCAGACCUGCUUGAGCCAUCAAGGAACACUGAAGGCUGUACUUCUCCCACUUCAGGCACUUAUCAGCUCAACAGCGUUACAGGAUCUGAGGUGCACUUCUUUUCCCUGAAUUUGUUUUUCCUUUUUCCUUGGGAUAAGCCCCCCCUUGAACACUGUUUGCUCC
rnacentral:lncRNA from 7 species